GGGGUUGUGGCUCAGUGGUAGAGUGCUCACCUUGCAUGUGUGAGGCACUGAAUUCCACAUUAUCAGCACCA
rnacentral:tRNA from 1 species